UAUUGAAACACUGGUUCUCAUAUGAUCACUGAACUUAAGCAAUGUUGAGCCUGGCUAGUAAGUAGAUGGGUAACCACUCAGGAAUACUAGAUGCUA